CAACGGCUGGAGAUGCCCUCGUUCCUGCAUAGGCCGAGAAAAAACUCACCGCAGCUAGCCCCUACCGCCGAGACACAUCGAGCCAGCCGCUCGCUUCCCAUCCCGACCUCCCGUCUCCCCGCUCGCCGGACGCCCAGAGCCGCAGCCUCUCCGUCCCGCCCGCUCGGCGUUUGGGGCUCGGCAGCAGCCGCGCCACCGCAACUGUGCGGGCCGUGCCCCUGCCUCUGGCCGCCAGGCGCCCCUGCAAGCCGGCGCACGCCGCCCACUCCGCACACCGGCUCUCGGCCGGCAGGCAGCAGCAAGCCAGCAACCAUCCUUAUUGAUUUGAGACCCAGCAUAGCAGCAAGGAAGCGGACGGGAGGGUGAUGGGAAGCAACAACCCCGGCGGCGCAGGCGGAGGGAUGGCUCCGGGCAUGGGAGCGGGCAGCAGCGACGGGCGGCACGAUGACGAGGCCGUACUCACUGAGUUCCUCUCCUCCCUCAUGGACUACAACCCCAUGAUUCCGGACGAGCUCGUGGAGCACUACCUCGGCCGCAGCGGCUUCCACUGCCCUGACCUACGCCUUACAAGGUUGGUUGCUAUAGCUACUCAAAAGUUCAUUUCAGACGUCGCAAGUGACUCCCUUCAGCAUUGCAAAGCCAGGGUUGCAGCACCUAUCAAAGACAACAAGAGCAAACAACCGAAGGAUAGACGUCUUGUAUUGACAAUGGAUGAUCUUUCAAAAGCCCUGCGUGAGCAUGGUGUUAACCUGAAACAUCCGGAGUAUUUUGCGGACAGCCCAUCAGCAGGGAUGGGCCCUUCAACAAGAGAGGAAUAGAAUCAAUCACUUCCCGUACCAGGACAUGCCCUUACAACUUUAUGUACCGUUGCAGCCAUCGUGUAUUAUGGACCAGCAGUGUGUGGUUGCCACCAUUUUGAUGCGUAUGUAUAGUAUUGCUGAUCAUGUUCUCCAAGUCACCACCUAUGUUGGAUUUGAUUGCAUCUUGAAACUGUCGAUUACAUGAAAUUGGCUUUGUGUAGCAGGUAAGUUUGAUUCCUGAUGGUUGGCUAGUAUGGCACCCAUGGAAACUGGAGAUCAGAUAGACCUAGCUUCUCUUCAGCAUCUAAUUGCAAGAACAUAAGUCAAAAUUGCAUACUGUGUCCUAUAAAAGAAGUCAUAUUCAGGAUGCCAUCUGAAUUUCGAGAUACAACGCUCCAUGAAAAGCAUCAAUAAAAUAUGGCAACACACUGAAAGGAACAAGGCAUAUUUUGUUGUUGACUUCUUAUCCAGAAGCAACUAUUGCAUCAACUGUCACCUCCAUAUUGCCAUGACAAAGACUGUCUAAUUGUAAAACAAAUUGCGUGCGUUUAAAUGAAAAUUAUCGCUGCAAGGAUACAAUCCAAGCACCGGCUCUUUUGGAGGGUUUCCAAGUUUAUAUAGUUCUUAUUCAUCAAUCAUUGAAUGAUUGAUUAGUGUGUACUUGUCAUGGCUAAGCUAUUGGACGUACACUUGAUUUGUCAGUUUGUCCAUACAACAGCACCUC
rnacentral:rRNA from 1 species